rnacentral:rRNA from 1 species
UACGUAGGUGGCAAGCGUUGUCCGGAAUUAUUGGGCGUAAAGCGCGCGCAGGUGGUUUCUUAAGUCUGAUGUGAAAGCCCACGGCUCAACCGUGGAGGGUCAUUGGAAACUGGGGAACUUGAGUGCAGAAGAGGAAAGUGGAAUUCCAAGUGUAGCGGUGAAAUGCGUAGAGAAUUUGGAGGAACACCAGUGGCGAAGGCGACUUUCUGGUCUGUAACUGACACUGAGGCGCGAAAGCGUGGGAGCGAACGAGG